GAAUCUUUCUGAUUUGGUGAGAAUUAUUUUAUGGCCAAUGACGCACACAUUCCCUGUCGGAUGAGUGGAAAAGGUGCAGUGGCCUCUUCACCCGGAACAGCGAGUCCUGGAACUUCUGUUUCCGCCCAUAGUACAAUAACUGUGUGACUUGAUUUCCCCCCACAUCAUUGUGUCAGUUCUUGCUGAUAAAAACUGUAGGGGUUCUUUGUGAUUUUUCAGAUAAAAAUGCCUCAAAUACUGUAAACCAUUACUUUUGGAAAAGGGAAUUUAAUUUGUUGUGCAUGCAGACAACACUUUUGGGGAAUAUUGUAUGUGUAUGUAUAUGCUUGAUAUUAUUUAAAAGUUGUUUCUUACCUUUGUUUAACUAAUACUGUAUCUACUUCUGUUUUUGGAAUGUAUUGUCAACCAACUUAUUUAUGUUUCCUUAGCUUUUUAUUUCAUUACUGGGGAAAAUGUUGUAUUUAUUUGAUACAAACAGUCCUUUUCUUUUGGAAUGAUAACACUCUUGUUUUUAAAAUAUAUAUGAGAUCAUUACACUGGUGCUAUUUUCCUGACUCUAAAAAGGAACUUUUAAAUAAAUUAGUUAUUGUCUUCUG